CCACGCUUGACGGGGGGCCGCCAGAGGCGGCUGAGAUCAUGCAGCGCAUGGGACCCGUUGAACCUGAUCUGGGGGUAACCCCGAUGCCAUGGCAUCGCGGUGAGGACCAGCGUAGGGAUCAAGCGCUCACGGCCC
rnacentral:ncRNA from 2 species